CAGUCGCCGCGGUAAUACAGAGGGUGCGAGCGUUAAUCGGAUUUACUGGGCGUAAAGCGUGCGUAGGCGGCUUUUUAAGUCGGAUGUGAAAUCCCUGAGCUUAACUUAGGAAUUGCAUUCGAUACUGGGAAGCUAGAGUAUGGGAGAGGAUGGUAGAAUUCCAGGUGUAGCGGUGAAAUGCGUAGAGAUCUGGAGGAAUACCGAUGGCGAAGGCAGCCAUCUGGCCUAAUACUGACGCUGAGGUACGAAAGCAUGGGGAGCAAACAGGAUUAGAUACCCCAGUAGUCCCUGUCUCUUAUAA
rnacentral:rRNA from 1 species